CUCAAAUAUCAUCAGUCGUUGCCAGAUAUAAAGAUGUCUGACUUUCUUGGUUCUUCAUGGUUGGGUCUGAGCCAUGUGCUAGGAGUAGGCCACAAAACUGUGUCCUUCCUUUCUGGGCUGCUUCAUGAAGCCAAGUAAAGGCCCACUUAUCCUUUGCAUUUACAUGUGUUGUAUUUCAUCCGUAGAGCAGCUAUGUCAACAUGCCCAUAAGAUGCUGCACUGUGAAGUGGAGUUAAGCUUCCUUUGUCCUGGGCUUUAACAUCAGCUCCAUGCUCUAAAAGUUGAUAUUCUCUGGAGUACAAAGCUUCUGCACUCUGAUCUGGCCAGGCAGCCCUUCUUGACAGUAUCCAACAGGGCAGCACACCCCACCCUCAGUCUGCCUCUCUGCAAAGCCACAAAGAAUUCGCUAUCAACUGGAGAACCAGACAAGGCAAUGUCUCCUGUCACAAACUGAAGUCUUGCUGUGCAACUCUGGUUGACCUGAGGGAAGGACAAGACCUGAC
rnacentral:lncRNA from 1 species